CGGAGCUAGAUGUUUAUUGGGCCUAAGCAUCCGUAGCCGGCUUUACAAGUCUCCGGUUAAAUCCAGCUGCCUAACAGAUGGGCUGCCGGAGAUACUACAAAGCUAGGGAGCGGGAGAGGCAGACGGUAUUCGGUGGGUAGGGGUAAAAUCCUCUGAUCCAUUGAGGACCACCAGUGGCGAAGGCGGUCUACCAGAACGCGUUCGACGGUGAGGGAUGAAAGCUGGGGGAGCAAACCGGAUUAGAUACCCGGGUAGUCCCAGCUGUAAACGAUGCAGACUCGGUGAUGCACUGGCUUUUGGCCAGUGCAGUGCCGCAGGGAAGCCGUUAAGUUUGCCGCCUGGGAAGUACGUACGCAAGUAUGAAACUUAAAGGAAUUGGCGGGGGAGCAC
rnacentral:rRNA from 1 species